GUCGAAGUUAUGCUUGUACACAAAAUGGUACACACGGAUUUAUAUCGCAUGUAAUUUACUGUUAUAUAAUGAUAUAUUAUGAUGUUAGCUUAUUGCAAAUCCGUGUACACCGGUUCGAUUCCGGUACCCGCCUCCA
rnacentral:tRNA from 1 species